UUUUUCACUGACCUCAGCUCAGGUGAGGCGACCCG
rnacentral:rRNA from 1 species